rnacentral:rRNA from 1 species
UACGUAGGGUGCGAGCGUUAAUCGGAAUUACUGGGCGUAAAGCGUGCGCAGGCGGCUUUGCAAGACAGAUGUGAAAUCCCCGGGCUCAACCUGGGAACUGCAUUUGUGACUGCAAGGCUAGAGUACGGCAGAGGGGGAUUGAAUUCCGCGUGUAGCAGUGAAAUGCGUAGAUAUGCGGAGGAACACCAAUGGCGAAGGCAAUCCCCUGGGCCUGUACUGACGCUCAUGCACGGAAGCGUGGGGAGCAAACAGG